GGUUUUUUAGUUUAUAAAAAUACAGAUUUUGUAAUUCUGAGAUGGUACRCCCAAAAACCU
rnacentral:tRNA from 1 species